UGAGACAGACAGAUCCUUGUCAAGAACAUAUCUCCUAGAUUUCAUCGUCGUCUCUCUUUUACUCCAUAACAAUGGCUCUCCUUGGCUUCUUGGGCCGCUUCGUGCCGCCAUUCUCGGGCUUCGUCUUCGCUUGCGUCCUCGCCGUAGCGCUCCAAAUCUUCGUCUUCUCGCCGAUAUCUCCCGACUUUCUUCCUUUGCCAGGACCAUCGUCCCUUGCUUCGCUCCCCACAAACACCCACUUACAGGGUGUGGAAAAACUUGGAGAGGGCAUAUUGAAAGACCCAGAAGACGUGUGUGUAGACGAAAAUGGCGUGCUCUACACUGCGACGAGAGAUGGUUGGAUCAAGAGGUUGCACCGAGAUGGGUCCUGGGAAAACUGGACCAUGUUGAACAGUGAGGCACUCCUGGGGCUUACGGCGACCAGGAGAGGUGGUGUCGUUGUGUGUGAUGCUGAAAAGGGUCUGAUCUGGGCUGAUGAAGAUGGUCAUGCGAAGGUCCUCUUAUCACAUGUUAAUGGAUCUGAAUUAAGCUUCGCGGACGACGUCAUCGAAGCAUCGGAUGGGAGUCUCUAUUUCAGCGUAGGCAGCACCAAGUUCGGCUUCCACAAUUGGUACUUGGACGUCCUUGAGGCGAAACCUCAUGGCCAGCUUCUCAAGUUCGACCCUUCGUCGUCACAAACUUCGAUUGUUCUCGACAAUUUGUACUUUGCCAAUGGCGUCGCUCUCUCUAAGGACGAAGAGUUUCUCAUCGUUUGUGAAACUUGGAUAAAUAGGUGUUUGAAGCAUUGGCUAAAGGGAGAUGAAGCAGGGAAAACGGAGAUUUUCGUCGACAAUCUUCCCGCCGGACCCGACAACAUCAAUCUUGCCCCCGACGGAUCUUUCUGGAUUGCCCUAGUGCAGGUGAGAUCUGAAGCGUGGGAGUUUGUGCACCGAUCCAAGGCAGCCAAGCACUUGAUAGCAACAUACCCAAGUUUGAUCAAGAGAGUGAAUGGAGUGUCCGGAAAAGCAAGUGUUUUGCAUGUGGGAGCUGAUGGCAAAAUAAUCAAGAAGCUUGACGAUCCGGAUGGGAAAGUCAUCCGCUUUGUCACCUCAGCAGUUGAGUUUGAGGGUCAUCUUUACCUGGCGAGUCUCAACUCCAACUUCAUUGGAAAGUUGCCACUCACCUGAUGAUUUUUGCCUAAUGUAACGUUCACUUCAAUGGGAAUUUCAUGUAACACCGUUUCGCCGCAUGCAUUAUGGCAUCAUGUGCUUCACCAGUUCCGAAUUGUGAGACUUUGAUGCUUCCAAGAGGGAGAUUUCAUUACAAUUCCUAAAAAAUUGUUGGGUAGAUAGAAUUUAUCUGAUGGUUAACCAUUCAG